UAACAUGCGGCUGGAUGCGUUUGGAAAGGUAAGGUUUUAUUCGGCAAUUUUUAGGGUCGAGCUCUUGUGGAAAACCUUAUAUUUUUAUGUUUUUUGGAGAGCUUUGGCCUAAGUUCCCUUUAGACAUGAAAAUGUACGGAUUAUUCCGGGGAUUUCCUUAAAAAUUUUCGAAUAAAACCUACUUGUUUUAUGGGAUGCUCAGCCAGGAUCUUGACAAGAGGAAUGGCGGAUGGCGGAAACAAAUCGGUAUCAACUGUAUCCUAAACGGGUCACUAGACCAUAGCGGCUUUCGAAUCAAGCGGAUUUCGGUACAGCAGUACAGGAGGCUGCUAGGGCGGAUCUUCUGUCAUCACAUCCCCAACAGUUUGUUGAUUAGCUGGUUGACUGUAGUCGGUGCUUUAGCUUUCAAGGCCAGGUAGCUACUCUCAGGGCUACACAAUUUCAUUUGCAGCAAGAUCCUUAAGCCGUUACGUGAUUCUAAUGGGCAUUAUCCAGGAUUGGACCAGACAUUAAAUAAGCUCUACGUGACAGCAGCAGCAGCAACUGCCACAGCGAUGGUUUUGCCGAAAACUAUUUCUACCUUCCGGACAAAUUUCAUAUCCGUUGUCACAGAACGGUAUGUCAAAGUUAAUUUGUUGCUUGUCCAUGAGUUGGUUGAUCGGAAACUCUCCGGAGCUGGUUUGUGUCCACUACCAGGCGUGAAGGCGGAUGGACCAGAUUUCAGCACUGGCAGAUUUCCUGAUUGGAUAAAUUUUAAACCGAAAAAUUCUGUUACGUGAUGUCGGAUGGUUAGUGUAUCCCAACCCAACACACAAUUUCUGGAAACAAUUUCUCCAAACACAGACUUUUUCUGGGAAAAAAUGAG